AAUGUAUUUAAAUUAUUUUAGUUUCAACAAGUAGUAUUAGUACAAAUUUUACAAGUAAAAUCAGCUCUAAAAUAUUUAUAUCUUUACCCUUGAAUUCUUUUAAUGAUGUUCUUAAACAAAAUUACGACCAAAAUAACAUUUUAUAUAGAAUUUAUCAACUAUCUAAAAGAGUAUAUUUUAAUAUAAUUGUUUUCAAUUCAAUGAACCAAGAAAUAUGUGUAUAGAUGUUCAUAACAAAAAUGUUAGCAUUGUUUGAACUGCAAGUGAUUAUCAUGAAAACAUUGUCUUGCUAGUAAAGCUAGAAUCCCGCCUCAGCAAAUUAAAAGGAAAGCCCCCAGGAAGGGUUCUACUUACCUAUUUAAUUAUUCAUAUAAUAAUUCCUUGAUUUAAGUAGAUAAAAUACCGCAAUAUUGAAAGACAACCAUAACAAUUUCUGUCCUUAAACCCAAUCAACAAAAUUUUCGGAUAUCUACCAAUUUGUAAACGUGCAUCUCAAAGAACUUCGAAAAAUUUUAGGCAAAUCUUUCUUUAGUUUACUAAAUCUAAAAAACUUAUUUGCACAAUUAUCUAGCUUGGCUUAGUAAUUUACUAGCUUUGCCAAAAGUUAAAACAUAUUUUUUAGUGGGAUAGCUAAAUUGAAAUAGCUGGCAAAAAACUUUUAGCUGAUAAUAAUAAAUGAAUACUUGGGUAUAAUUCUAGCUCAAACACUGUUCAUAGAAUACUUACUUGUUCUCUGUUGUUUGUAAUUUAUUUUUAUUAUGAAAAUAAAUGUAUGUAUAUUUCAUUUUGUUUCUGAAUAUCAAAGCAUUUACACGUUUUUUAUUUCUUCCAGAAUUUUCUCGGUUCUAUUUAAACUCGUUUUUCAUCAGAAUUAUUCGCCAGCCAUGAUGUCACUCGCUUUGAUUGGAUAUCGGUAUAAAAGUUAAUUUAUUUUGGGUGUUUUCAGUUUAUUAAAGCUACUUGAUACAAAAAAAAUGAUGUAGGGCUAAGCCUUCCAACUAUACACAUCUAAUUGGGCAAUUGCUUGACUUUUUCAUACAAAGGAUCAAAGACACUUUAUAUAUUUUAUGUAUGUAUACAUAUGUAUUAUGUAUACAUAGAGUGCUUUGGUUACGAUCUAGUACGCCCUAAACAUAAGACAAAACACCCCUUGGAUGCAUAGUAAUCUGUUCACUCAGUCCCUCAUCCAUAUUGUGCUCUUCACGACGUUUCACUGCUCUGUUACCCACUUAAAACGUUGAUAUCUGCUAAUACAAUGGAUUGACUGGAACAGCAAAAUCGUAACUGUGUGAUGUGUUGGCGAGGCCUGUACCACGGAAGACACCACCAAGAUGAUCUAUCAAUAUCACGAACAGGGUUUGCAGCGUAUAUCAAGAACAUGCUGAUUUAAAGAUAAAGAGACAGAAAGGUGCAGAAAGGACUUUAAAAAAAAUUGAGUGGAUGUUGUUUUUACUAUAGCAAUUUUAAAAAAGUGCAAAUUUUGGUUGACCAAAAAUAUCUAACGAACGAAUGACGCUAGAAACUUUAGUUAAAUUGACGUUAGCAACUUCAAUUAACUUUAAUGUUGUAUAAUGUGACGUAUUUGAAAAAAAAAAAUCAAUUAACACAAAAUUGGUAAAAAUUGAUAUUUGAUUCUCGAUAUCUCUUGAAUAAAUGAAGGGAUUAACUUCAAAAUGA